rnacentral:rRNA from 1 species
GAUGAAUGCUGGCGGCGUGCCUAACACAUGCAAGUCGAGCGGCAGCGAGGGGUGCUUGCACCCUGUCGGCGAGCGGCGAACGGCUGAGUAACGCGUAGGAAUUUGCCUCAAAGUGAGGAAUAACUGCCCGAAAGGGUAGCUAAUGCCGCAUAUGGUCUUCGGAUUAAAGGAUUUAUCCGCUUUGGGAGAAGCCUGCGUUGGAUUAGGUUGUUGGUAGGGUAAUGGCCUACCAAGCCGACGAUCCAUAGCUGGUCUGAGAGGAUGAUCAGCCAGACUGGAACUGAGACACGGUCCAGACUCCUACGGGAGGCAGCAGUGAGGAAUCUUCCACAAUGGGCGAAAGCCUGAUGGAGCAACGCCGCGUGAAGGAUGAAGGCCUUCGGGUUGUAAACUUCUUUUAUGAGUGAAGAAUAUGACGGUAACUCAUGAAUAAGCACCGGCUAACUACGUG